rnacentral:rRNA from 1 species
CCUCGGGUUGCACCAGUGAGGAAUUUUGCGCAAUGGGGGAAACCCUGACGCAGCAACGCCGCGUGAGUGAUGAAGAUUUUCGGAUCGUAAAGCUCUGUCAAGUGGGAAAAACGGUUUUCGGUUAAUACCCGGAAACUCUGAUGGUACCACUGGAGGAAGCACCGGCUAACUCCGUGCCAGCAGCCGCGGUAAUACGGAGGGUGCAAGCGUUGUUCGGAAUUACUGGGCGUAAAGAGCGUGUAGGCGGCCUGACAAGUCAGAUGUGAAAGCCCUGGGCUUAACCCAGGAAGUGCAUUUGAAACUGUCAAGCUAGAGUAUGGGAGAGGAGAGUGGAAUUCCUGGUGUAGAGGUGAAAUUCGUAGAUAUCAGGAGGAACACCGGUGGCGAAGGCGACUCUCUGGACCAAUACUGACGCUGAGACGCGAAAGCGUGGGGAGCAAACAGGAUUAGAUACCCGCGUAGUC